rnacentral:rRNA from 1 species
AUUGAACGCUGGCGGCAUGCCUUACACAUGCAAGUCGAACGGUAACAGAUCUUCGGAUGCUGACGAGUGGCGAACGGGUGAGUAAUACAUCGGAACGUGCCUAGUAGUGGGGGAUAACUACUCGAAAGAGUGGCUAAUACCGCAUGAGAUCUACGGAUGAAAGCAGGGGAUCGCAAGACCUUGUGCUACUAGAGCGGCCGAUGGCAGAUUAGGUAGUUGGCGGGAUAAAAGCUUACCAAGCCGACGAUCUGUAGCUGGUUUGAGAGGACGAUCAGCCACACUGGGACUGAGACACGGCCCAGACUCCUACGGGAGGCAGCAGUGGGGAAUUUUGGACAAUGGGCGCAAGCCUGAUCCAGCAAUGCCGCGUGCAGGAUGAAGGCCUUCGGGUUGUAAACUGCUUUUGUACGGAACGAAAAGCCCUGGGUUAAUACCCUGGGGUCAUGACGGUACCGUAAGAAUAAGCACCGGCUAACUACGUGCCAGCAGCCGCGGUAACAC